rnacentral:tRNA from 1 species
UGAAAAUUCUGAGAAUUGAACUCAAGACCUUGUAUACAAUUAUAGUAAGUGUACGCUCUUCCGCUAAGCUACAUUUCC